rnacentral:snRNA from 1 species
ACUCUAUUUUUUAAGGGA